rnacentral:rRNA from 1 species
GCAAGGUUAAAACUCAAAUGAAUUGACGGGGGCCCGCACAAGCGGUGGAGCAUGUGGUUUAAUUCGAUGCAACGCGAAGAACCUUACCUGGUCUUGACAUCCACAGAACUUUCCAGAGAUGGAUUGGUGCCUUCGGGAACUGUGAGACAGGUGCUGCAUGGCUGUCGUCAGCUCGUGUUGUGAAAUGUUGGGUUAAGUCCCGCAACGAGCGCAACCCUUAUCCUUUGUUGCCAGCGGUCCGGCCGGGAACUCAAAGGAGACUGCCAGUGAUAAACUGGAGGAAGGUGGGGAUGACGUCAAGUCAUCAUGGCCCUUACGACCAGGGCUACACACGUGCUACAAUGGCGCAUACAAAGAGAAGCGACCUCGCGAGAGCAAGCGGACCUCAUAAAGUGCGUCGUAGUCCGGAUUGGAGUCUGCAACUCGACUCCAUGAAGUCGGAAUCGCUAGUAAUCGUGGAUCAGAAUGCCACGGUGAAUACGUUCCCGGGCCUUGUACACACCGCCCGUCACACCAUGGGAGUGGGUUGCAAAAGAAGUAGGUAGCUUAACCUUCGGGAGGGCGCUUACCACUUUGUGAUUCAUGACUGGGGUGAAGUCGUAACAAGGUAACCGUAGGGGAACCUGCGGUUGGAUCAC